AUGGCCGCGUCAGGAUCGGGAUCGCAGAGGUCUGAUAGCGGGAAGGAGAAGGCUGAUGCAGGGUUGGAGGCCGCCAUGAAGAACAUGCGGCUGCAAGAGGGAGAGCUCGAUGAAGUCUACGUGGGAGAAGAGGAGAUCGGAAAACUUGCAAAGGAGGCCCGUUGGCUAGCUGUCGCAAGGGUAAACACCUCCAAAACUUUUAGUAGCACGGCAUUGAAGGAAACCCUAAAGUCCAUAUGGAACCUAGCUCAUGUUCCUGACAUUAGGGAAGCCGAUGACAAUGUUUUUGUCAUACAAGUCUUUUGCCUGGGGGAUUGGAAGAGAGUAAUGUUCCAAGGUCCAUGGAUCUUCCAUUUGUACCGGAAGGAACCUAUUGUAGAUCAGCUGGCAAGGAGAAUUGGCAUUGUUAGAAGUGUAGAGCUAAAUCCAACACGUUAUUUCGAGGGAAAUUAUAUCCGUGUUCGGGCAAGUAUAGAUGUAUCGAAGCCACUGAUUCGAUGGACACCCUUAAAUCUGGCAGGAGAAAGAAUUUUUCUUGAGGUUAAAUAUGAAAAGAUUGGAUAUUUCUGUGGAGUGUGUGGCCUCCUUGGACAUGACAAGGAGGAAUGCGGUGACGGUGUUCAUCCUCCUGAUAAAAUACAGUGGGGGAAGUGGCUCCUAGCCAAAAGACGGACGACUCAGGUCCACCAAGAAGGUGAACGCCGGUUUGCUUACUUUCGAGGCAGCUUCCGUGGCAGAGGUCGUGCUGGCCGUGGUGCACCUCGUAAGAGGAAUUCCAACGAAGCUGGCCUAGAUGAUGAUGGGGAGGAGCGGGACACAGCCCAGAGUCCUCUGAAAGAGAAAGACAUAGAGCAGAAUAGAACCAACACAGAUGGUACAGAGGAUACAAAUCAGGUGAAGGAAAAGAACCAAACUGCAAGGAAACUUGAUAUGGAUGCUGGGACAGAAAAAGAAAAGGAGAAGUGCGAUGGUACAGAGAAGAAUCCAGCCAUGGCGGCUGCCGUGAGUGGGCUCAUCCCACCUCCACCUCCAGCUUAUAUUUCUCCCAAGGAACGUAAGAAGGCUCGCAAUGGAAGCUCACCAAACAAGUCUUCUGCUUCGGAUGUACAAUCGGCGGCCUCCCUCGAGGAGGACCGCCCGGCCCAAUGA
rnacentral:rRNA from 1 species